AGUGAACGCUGGCGGUAGGCCUAACACAUGCAAGUCGAACGGCAGCACAGUAAGAGCUUGCUCUUACGGGUGGCGAGUGGCGGACGGGUGAGGAAGACAUCGGAAUCUACUUUUUCGUGGGGGAUAACGUAGGGAAACUGACGCUAAUACCGCAUACGACCUACGGGUGAAAGCAGGGGAUCUUCGGACCUUGCGCGAUUGAAUGAGCCGAUGUCGGAUUAGCUAGUUGGCGGGGUAAAGGCCCACCAAGGCGACGAUCCGUAGCUGGUCUGAGAGGAUGAUCAGCCACACUGGAAAUGAGACACGGUCCAGACUCCUACGGGAGGCAGCAGUGGGGAAUAUUGGACAAUGGGCGCAAGCCUGAUCCAGCCAUACCGCGUGGGUGAAGAAGGCCUUCGGGUUGUAAAGCCCUUUUGUUGGGAAAGAAAAGCAGCAGGUUAAUACCCCGCUGUUCUGACGGUACCCAAAGAAUAAGCACCGGCUAACUUCGUG
rnacentral:rRNA from 1 species